CAAAAACAUCUCUUUAAGUUAAUAAUUUUAAGUCAAAUCUGCUCAAUGAAUAUAUUUUAAAUAGCUGCAGUAUUUUAACUGUACAAAGGUAGCAUAAUCAAUAGUUUUAUAAUUUAAAACUGGAAUGAAAGAUUUAAUGAAAUAAAUAUUGUCUCAGAAUUAAUGAUAUUAAAAAUUUAAUUUUAGUAAAAAUUCUAAAAUAAAUUUAAAAGACGAGAAGACCCUAUAGAAUUUUAUAAAUUAAGAUUUAAUUUAAUUUAAAAAUUAAAUUUUAAUAUAUUAAAUUGGGGAAAUUUUUAAAUUUAAUAAAUUUUAAUUUUUAUUAUACAAGAGUAAUUGGUUUAAAAUGAUUAAAUUUAUUUUGAUUGAAAGAAUAAAUUACCUUAGGGAUAACAGCGUAAUUUUUUUAGAAAGAUCUAAUAGAUAAAAAAGUUUGCGACCUCGAUGUUGAAUUAAGAUAAAAUUUUAAAGAAGAAAAUAAAAAUUUUUGGUCUGUUCGACCAUUAAAAUCUUACGUGAUCUGA
rnacentral:rRNA from 1 species